rnacentral:rRNA from 4 species
CAACUUUCAGCAAUGGAUCUCUUGGUUCUCGCAUCGAUGAAGAACGCAGUGAAAUGCGAUAACUGGUGUGAAUUGCAUCCAAGUAACUCUAAUUUACGAAUAACACCAAGUGAAUCAUCGAGUCUUUGAA